CUACGGGAUGCUCCAGUGAGGAAUUUUGCGCAAUGGGGGAAACCCUGACGCAGCAACGCCGCGUGAGUGAAGAAGGCUUUCGGGUCGUAAAGCUCUGUCAGAUAGGAAAAAAGUUCAUAUGUAAAUAGCUUAUGAAUCUGAUGGUACUAUCAGAGGAAGCACCGGCAAACUCCGUGCCAGCAGCCGCGGUAAUACGGAGGGUGCAAGCGUUGUUCGGAAUUACUGGGCGUAAAGGGCGUGUAGGCGGUAUGGUAAGUCAGAUGUGAAAGCCCUGGGCUUAACUCAGGAAGUGCAUUUGAUACUGCCAUCCUUGAGUAUGGAAGAGGAGAGUAAGAUUCCCAAUGUAGAGGAGAAAUUCGUAGAUAUUGGGAGGAAUACCCGUGGCGAAGGCGACUCUCUGGACCAAUACUGACGCUGAGACGCGAAAGCGUGGGGAGCAAACAGGAUUAGAUACCCCUGUAGUC
rnacentral:rRNA from 1 species